rnacentral:rRNA from 1 species
CCAAGAGCCGCAUGGCCCAUGAAAGAAAGGUGGCCUCUACCUGUAAGCUAUCGCCUGAAGAGGGGUUUGCGUCUGAUUAGCUGGUUGGAGGGGUAACGGCCCUCCAAGGCGACGAUCAGUAGCCGGUCUGAGAGGAUGAACGGCCACACUGGAACUGAGACACGGUCCAGACUCCUACGGGAGGCAGCAGUGGGGAAUCUUCCGCAAUGGGCGAAAGCCUGACGGAGCAACGCCGCGUGAGUGAUGACGGCCUUCGGGUUGUAAAACUCUGUGAUCCGGGACGAAAAGGCAGAGUGCGAAGAACAAACUGCAUUGACGGUACCGGAAAAGCAAGCCACGGCUAACUACGUGCCAGCAGCCGCGGUAAUACGUAGGUGGCAAGCGUUGUCCGGAAUUAUUGGGCGUAAAGCGCGCGCAGGCGGCUUCCCAAGUCCCUCUUAAAAGUGCGGGGCUUAACCCCGUGAUGGGAAGGAAACUGGGAAGCUGGAGUAUCGGAGAGGAAAGUGGAAUUCCUAGUGUAGCGGUGAAAUGCGUAGAGAUUAGGAAGAACACCGGUGGCGAAGGCGACUUUCUGGACGAAAACUGACGCUGAGGCGCGAAAGCGUGGGGAGCAAACAGGAUUAGAUACCCUGGUAGUCCACGCCGUAAACGAUGGAUACUAGGUGUAGGAGGUAUCGACCCCUCCUGUGCCGGAGUUAACGCAAUAAGUAUCCCGCUUGGGAAC